GCCUUUUAACUUUUUUCAUUCGAGCGUCACUGAUGUUUUUUUUUUGUAGACUUAACUCGUGUCUGGCGUUUUUUUUUUUAUAUCUACAUACCUUUUUAUAUACAUUGGUUAUUUUGAAAGUGUGUACAGGUAUUCAUAAACUUCUGAAUUAAGAAAUUCUUCGGCAAAACUAAGUUUCCCUGUAGAAUGUUUGAAUUGAUUUAAGUAAAAUCAGGAAAUCCUUAAAAUUUGAGAUGUUUUAUGAAUCCAAAAUAAGUCUCUUCAUAAGAGGUCCCAAUCAAUUGCAUACCAAGACAGCUUCAAAUACGAGUUGAG
rnacentral:lncRNA from 1 species